GAUGAACGCUAGCGGCAGGCCUAACACAUGCAAGUCGAGGGGCAGCACAUAAAGUGGUUUACUACUUUUGGUGGCGACCGGCGGACGGGUGCGUAACGCGUAUGCAACCUGCCUCCAACAGGGGGAUAACGGAGAGAAAUUUCCACUAAUACUCCAUAAUAUCAGAAUCGGCAUCGGUUUUGGUUGAAAACUCCGGUGUGUGGAGAUGGGCAUGCGUUGUAUUAGAUAGUUGGUGAGGUAACGGCUCACCAAGUCAACGAUACAUAGGGGGACUGAGAGGUUAGCCCCCCACACUGGUACUGAGGCACGGACCAGACUCCUACGGGAGGCAGCAGUGAGGAAUAUUGGUCAAUGGGGGCAACCCUGAACCAGCCAUGCCGCGUGCAGGAAGACGGCUCUAUGAGUUGUAAACUGCUUUUACAAGGGGAUAAAUCGGUGUACGUGUACACCGUUGAAGGUACCUUGGGAAUAAGGAUCGGCUAACUCCGUGCCAGCCGCCGCAGUAA
rnacentral:rRNA from 1 species